rnacentral:lncRNA from 1 species
CUUUUUCCAAAAGGUGCAGACAUGUUUGCUUAUUUUUCCUUUCACGAGCAACCAUAGAAAUCCAUCCACCUAGUGAUUUCCAGCCACCAAAUGGUUGGAAAGACCCAACCAUAAGCUUUUUGAAUGAAGAUGGCGUGGAUACCUUUGCAUAGCAUGUGUACAAGAAACUAUUGACACAUCGCCUAUCCUCAUAUAGUUUAUUUGGA